CCUACGGGUGGCAGCAGUGAGGAAUAUUGGUCAAUGGGCGCGAGCCUGAACCAGCCAAGGAGCGUGAAGGAUGACGGCCCUACGGGGUGUAAACUUCUUUUAUAAGGGAAUAAAGUGCGGCACGUGUGCCUUUUUGCAUGUACCCUAUGAAUAAGGAUCGGCUAACUCCGUGCCAGCAGCCGCGGUAAUACGGAGGAUCCGAGCGUUAUCCGGAUUUAUUGGGUUUAAAGGGAGCGUAGGUGGAUUGUUAAGUCAGCUGUGAAAGUUCGCGGCCCAACCGGAAACUUGCUGUUGAAACUGGCAGUCUUGAGUGCAGUAGAAGUGGGCGGAAUUCGUGGUGUAGCGGUGAAAUGCUUAGAUAUCACGAAGAACUCCGAUUGCGAAGGCAGUUCACUGGACUGCAACUGACGCUGAGGCUCGAAAGUGUGGGUAUCAAACAGGAUUAGAUACCCGAGUAGUC
rnacentral:rRNA from 1 species